rnacentral:tRNA from 1 species
UGGUCUUUGGGUCGGUGCUGCGCAUCGGGUCGGUUGCGGCGGGCGGGGGGGCGUUGGCUUCGGGGCCGGUCUGGGAAGGCUGG